CCCUUAGAUGAUUUGGGCUGCACGCGCGCUACACUGACCCUAACAAUGAGCAACUGUCUGGCCUGAGAUGGCUGGGUAGCCUUUUCAACCCAUGUCAUGAUUGGGCUAGAUUUUUGUAAGUCUUGAUCUCUAACGAGGAAUCCCUAGUAUGCGUGAAUCAUCAAUCCAUGCAGAUUAUGUCCCUGCCCUUUGUACACACCGCCCGUCGCUCCUACCGAGGGGGUGAUCCGGUGAAUGAUUCGGACUCUGGUGCUUCUAGCUGCUAGAUGCGCCGGAGGAAGUUUUGUGAACCUUAUCACUUGGAGGAAGGAGAAGUCGUAACA
rnacentral:rRNA from 1 species